AGCCGUGUGUCGAGCACAUAGCGAACUAUUCUUUCGCCUUUUACUAAAGAAUACCGUGUGCUCGUCGCUAUUCAAGCGGCAUAUGCUUCUUUUUGGAGGGUGCUUUCUCUAGCAGGA